rnacentral:rRNA from 1 species
UACGUAGGGGGCAAGCGUUGUCCGGAUUUAUUGGGCUUAAAGAGCGUGUAGGCGGCUUUACAGGUCCGUUGUGAAAACUCGAGGCUCAACCUCGAGCUGUCGGUGGAAACUGUGUGGCUAGAGUCCGGAAGAGGAGAGUGGAAUUCCCGGUGUAGCGGUGAAAUGCGCAGAUAUCGGGAAGAACACCCGUGGCGAAGGCGGCUCGCUGGGCCGGUACUGACGCUGAGACGCGAAAGCGUGGGGAGCGAACAGG